GAGUAUCUUGGCCUGUGGCAAAGAAUUUCACAAGCAAAUUGUCCAAGACAACCUAAAAGCCAAGAAUGUGGUUUUUAUGUUUUGAAAUAUAUGACUGACAUCAUCGCACGUGCAAACCCCAACCGUUACAUACAAGAUCAAAAAGCUUUUGGGGGUAAGAAGCAAUACGAUCCAAAAACUGAAUUGUUACCAUUACAGCGAAAGUGGAUAGAACGAUUGAUGGCGCUGAUUCACGAUGACGAUUGAGGUUGAAAGGCCCAAGAAUUUUUCUUCAUUAUGUAAUUUUUUUAGAUUAGCUUGUAGUUAGAUUUAUUAACUUAUUAAUAUUUUUGACUAAUUUUACAUAAGUGUUUGUGUAAUAUUUAAUUACUUUUAUGAAAUGAAAUUAUGUAUUUUAGCCAA